CUGGAAUCUAAAAAAUAAAAGAAAAAGAAAACAAAUGAAAAACAGAAAGACCCAUAAAUACAGAAAACAGACUGCUGGUUGCCAGGGGGAGGAGGUGGGGAGAUGGAUAAAGUGAGUGAAAGGCAGUAGGAGUUACAAGUUUCCACUUAUGGAAUGAAGAAAUCAUGGGAAUAAAAGGUACAGUUUAAGGAAUAUAGUCAGUGGUAGUAUAACAGCAUUGUAUGGUGACAGAUGGUAGCUACGCUUGUAUGGUGAGGAUAGCAUAACGUAGAGAGUCGUCCAAUCACUAUGUUGUACACCUGAAAACUAAUGUCACACUAUGUCAAUUCUUAGAAAGAGAAGAAAAAAAGAAAGAAAGAAAGAAAGAAAGAGAAAGAAAGAGAAAGAAAGAAAGAAAGAAAGAAAGGAAGAAAGAAAGAAAGGAGAAAGAAAGGCAAAGAAAAAGGAAGAAAGAAAAUCUGACAGAGAGUUUGGAGGUAAAACGACAGGCCCUAAGAAGCCACGAAGUUCAACUUUCUCAUUUCAUAACUGGGAAAACCGAGGCUCGAGGCAUUUCUUGGUUUGCUGGAGGUCAAACAAGACAUUAGCUAGCAGCAGUUGUGUAAGUGCUACUCAGAUCUCUGGACUACUGGCGCCAUUGAACUAAAGGAAGACUAAGAAUAGAACUGGACACACAACAGGACUGGGCUCUGGAGUCUGGCACCUAUAGAGUGAGCAUAAGACUGGUUUCUACUUCACAGCACAAUGUCCAGCAUGCUGGCUGUUAUCAUCAUCAUCAAGACAUGAGAGUUAAAUUCUACUGAACCUAAUAAUAUGAAGACAGGUGUGAGCAUUGUUCCCCUGUGAAUUUUCUACUGCAUCUGA
rnacentral:lncRNA from 1 species